AUGCACAGAGGGAAUUUUGAAACCAUCCAUGAUCGAUUGCGCAAGAAACUCAUUGAUUGGAGAGAGCAAUAUGUGUCCUCUGGCAAUAAGGAGAUUUUGAUCAAGGCUGUGGCACAGGCCCUGCCUACUUAUGUCAUGAGUGUCUUUAAGCUCCCUGCUUCGGUUUGUGAUGAGCUGACUCGUAUGAUCCGUCAAUAUUGGUGGGGUGUUGAAAACGGGAAGAAGAAGAUGGCAUGGAUGAGUUGGGACAUAUUGAGGCUACCUAAACCUAUGGGUGGCAUGGGGUUUAAGGAUAUGAGGGCCUUUAAUCAAUAA
rnacentral:rRNA from 1 species